UUGCACGCUGGCGGCAGGCCUCACACCUGCCAGUCGAGCGGAUGAGGGGAGCUUGCUCCUGGAUUCAGCGGCGGACGGGUGAGUAAUGCCUAGGAAUCUGCCUGGUAGUGGGGGAUAACGUCCGGAAACGGGCGCUAAUACCGCAUACGUCCUGAGGGAGAAAGUGGGGGAUCUUCGGACCUCACGCUAUCAGAUGAGCCUAGGUCGGAUUAGCUAGUUGGUGGGGUAAAGGCCUACCAAGGCGACGAUCCGUAACUGGUCUGAGAGGAUGAUCAGUCACACUGGAACUGAGACACGGUCCAGACUCCUACGGGAGGCAGCAGUGGGGAAUAUUGGACAAUGGGCGAAAGCCUGAUCCAGCCAUGCCGCGUGUGUGAAGAAGGUCUUCGGAUUGUAAAGCACUUUAAGUUGGGAGGAAGGGCAGUAAGUUAAUACCUUGCUGUUUUGACGUUACCAACAGAAUAAGCACCGGCUAACUUCGUG
rnacentral:rRNA from 1 species